rnacentral:lncRNA from 1 species
GGAGGAGUCUGCACCCCCCAUCGCCAGGUUCUCCAGGCAGCCACAGCCACAGGCUGUUUAGAGCCUGGGGUCAGUGGGACCCAGGAGGAGGCUGCUAGGGUUGAGGCCGGUGGAGCUGCCCCUGCGGCCCCGGGCGGGGCUGAGCCAGGGAGGUGCACUCAGGACUGCAGCAGCCCCAGGAGAUGCCCCGAGGCCUGGCCCAGCUCCUCAGUUUCCCUCUGCAGAGGCCAGAACCUGCAAUCAGUAUCAAUGGGCUGAAAUCAAGGGGUCGGCAGAGCUUCGCUCCCUCCUGGGGGUCUAGGGUAGAGCCUGCCUCUUCCCCACCUCCUCCGGAUUCGGCGGCUGCUGGUGCUCUUGGCUGUGUAGUCCCGAUCUCUGCCUCAUCUUCACAUCGCCUUCUCUGCUCUGUGUGCAAGCCACCCUCUACCUGCAUCAUAAGGAUACAAGUGAUUUAGGGCCCACCUGGAUGAUCCAGGGUCCCCUCCCACUUUAAAAUCCUUAAUGUAAUCCCAUCUGCAAAGACUUUGCCAUAUAAGGUAACGUACACAGGUUCCAGGGAUUAGGAACUGAUACCUUUGGGGGCCCUUAUUCACCUCGCCACAGCGUCCCCGUGAGUACAGAGAGGGAGGGCAUCCAGGCCCUCCCCCCAGCACAACCUCACAUGCCCUGGGCCCCAGGGCUGCCUCACCCCUGCCUACUCCCUGGACGCUCUUGGGAGCUGGUGUCGGGAUGCUGAGUCUGUGUUUGAUACAUCAGGAGGAAACAAAGUCCAGAGGGGCCUAAGGAGCCCAGGGCCACACAGCACAGAGUGAGGAUGGCACCCCUCCUGCCACCACCGUCGCUGAAUUGAGUGCUGAUUCUGCAUGGAGCUUUGCCUGUGCUGCCUGCCUCAUGCUCCCCAGGAAAGCGCUAUCAUUAUCACCCUCGUUUUCCUGAGGAGGGAGAAACUGAGGCUGAGAGAGGCCAGUCAUCUCGGUGGAGGCCACAUAAUGGAUCCAGAAUUGGAGCUGGACAGCCGCCACAACGCCGAGUGUUAAGGAGGAACACAGUUUGCAGCUGCCCCCCACCCCUGCCAGGCUAUGGCUUGUCACCAUCAGCUCCAUGUAAACUAGAGACUAGUGGUAAAACCACCUUUGCAAAAAUUAUGACGGUGAGAGAAACCUGACAGUUGGCUCCAUUUUGCUUCUACCCUCACAAGCUAACCAUCUUUGCUCAUUCCUGGGCGUAGACCAAGCUAACUAUGGGAGAAAUUUAGUUUAUAGUUUAACUUUAGAACAAAGAUGAUAACGGUUCCUUCCUGAAAUGAACCCCCUCCUUGCCUGGGGACAAAAACCACCUUUGUAAAGUUAACAAAUUAGCCACAAGGUUAGAAUUAUGGUUCUGGAGUCAAGUAGCCAGAGAUCACAAGUUUGUAACUUCCUCAGUUGCUUCUAUAGAUGACAUCAUUAGGAUAAAACCAAAGACUGGUGUUUGAGGUAUUUUUCAGAACUUGCAUUCUGAGGCACCAGCUGGUGCCGCCCAAACCCAUAACCCAUACAAAGAAAUGGACUCACCCAGUCCUGUGACUCUACCCAGGAAUUGACUCAGAGCAAGAAGACAGCUCUGGACCCUGCAAUUUCACCCCUGAACCAACCAAUCAGCAUUCUCCAUUUCCUAAGCCCCACCUGUCAAACCAUCCUUUAGAAACCGUAGCCUCCAAAUUCUUCUGAUGGGCAUUUGGGUUGGUUCCAAGUCUUCGCUAUUGUACAUAGUGCUGCAAUAAACAUACCUGUGCGUGUGUCUUUAUAGUAGAAUGAUUUAUAACCCUUUGCAUAUAUACCCAGUAAUGGGAUUGCUGGGUGGAAUGGUAUUUCUGG